AAACUCUUUCGACGAGUCGAGUUGUUUGGGAAUGCAGCUCAAAAUGGGUGGUAUAUUUCAUCUAAAGCUAAAUAUUGGCCAGAGACCGAUAGCGCACAAGUAGAGUGAUCGAAAGAUGAAAAGCACUUUGGAAAGAGAGUUAAACAGUACGUGAAAUUGUUGAAAGGGAAGCGCUUGCAAUCAGACUUGCGCCUAGUUGAUCAUCCAAGCUUCUGCUUGGUGCACUCGAUUAGGCUCAGGCCAGCAUCGGUUUGGGUGGUUGGAUAAAGGCUUGGGGAAUGUAGCCUCCUUCGGGUGGUGUUAUAGCCCCAGGUGCAAUGCAGCCUACCUGGACCGAGGACCGCGCUUCGGCUAGGAUGCUGG
rnacentral:rRNA from 1 species